rnacentral:rRNA from 1 species
GACGAACGCUGGCGGCGUGCCUAAUACAUGCAAGUAGAACGCUUAAGCUGGGUUCUUGCACCGAGCGGGUGAGUGGCGGACGGGUGAGUAACGCGUAGGUAACCGGCCGGGGAGCGGGAGGUAACUAAUGGAAACGAUAGCUAAUACCGCAUAAGAGGAGAUGUUGCAUGACAUUUGCUUAAAAGGGGCAAUUGCAUCACUACCAGAUGGACCGCCGUUGGGUUAGCUAGUUGGGGAGGUAACGGCCCACCAAGGCAACGAUACAGAGCCGGCCCGAGAGGGUGGUCCGCUCACACUGGAACUGGAAACGGCCCAAGCUUCCAAGGGAGGGAGCAGUAGGGGAUCUUCGGCAAUGGACCGAAGUCUGGACGAGCCACGGCGCGUGAGGUAAGAAGGUUCUCCGAUCGGAAAGCUCUGUUGUAAGGGGAGAAAGAGUGUUAGAGUGGAAAGUUCACGCUGUGACGGUAUCUAAAGAGAAAGGGACGGCUAACUACGUG